rnacentral:rRNA from 1 species
CAGUCGCCGCGGUAAAACGUAGGGUGCAAGCGUUAAUCGGAAUUACUGGGCGUAAAGCGUGCGCAGGCGGUUUGUUAAGACAGAUGUGAAAUCCCCGGGCUUAACCUGGGAACUGCAUUUGUGACUGGCAAGCUAGAGUCUGGCAGAGGGGGGUGGAAUUCCGCGUGUAGCAGUGAAAUGCGUAGAUAUGCGGAGGAACACCGAUGGCGAAGGCAGCCCCCUGGGCCAACACUGACGCUCAUGCACGAAAGCGUGGGGAGCAAACAGGAUUAGAUACCCCCGUAGUCCCUGUUCUUAUACA